CUCUGUCUUGCUCUUGGUGUUAUUUCAGUUCAUGCAACAUCCAAUACAAUCUCAAAGCCUGAAGCCUGCCUUGCCACAGUCUCAACUCUCAACUCGACUCGAUGAGGGCACAAUUUGCGUUCACUCAUCUCGUCUCUCUUAUCGUUCUAAAUACCGUUAGAAAACUAGUGAAUCUCAUCGGUUUCUCGUGAAAUCCUGGUGUGUUUUUGUUUACUAGUGCUGUGUUAUGUGAUGAUUAAUCCCAGCAAUACAGUUUAACCCUCCUGAGAAUGUAAAUAAACCAACACUGGCGAUACAGUGAUAAUGAAUAGCCAGUCGAUGUCAUCCAAGAUAAGGAUUAUCCCAUUUGUUCCUGAUAAUCAACGACAGCAAUAAAACAUUGAAAAUUAAGGUCUCACUACUGUCAAUGGCUGAAGAGCGAUGAAAUCAACAGAACCUUUGAGUCUGUCACCCAAGAAACUCAACUUCGUCUCCAACUCUACCAGAAAUCAGCAAUCUGCAACAUUGAAUGGGGAAUCACUAUCAAAACCUCAACUAGUCACAAAAAUGGUUGAAACCAGCGAAAUCGAAAACAAUGUCUGUGAUACAUCGAAACAAACAGUGGAAGUACAUGUGCACCAAGAGAAUGGUUACAGUAGUGAAGACUGUUCCCAACAAGAGAAGUUUGUAGAUUCUGGUAGGGGAAGAGAGGUUGUCAAUGGUAAACGUAGUCCUAAUAACUGUAGUUCAGAAUCAGAAAGGAGCUGCACUAAACUCAGU